rnacentral:rRNA from 1 species
GAUGAACGCUGGCGGCGUGCCUAAUACAUGCAAGUCGAGCGAACAGACGAGGAGCUUGCUCCUCUGACGUUAGCGGCGGACGGGUGGGUAACACGUGGAUAACCUACCUAUAAGACUGGGAUAACUUCGGGAAACCGGAGCUAAUACCGGAUAAUAUAUUGAACCGCAUGGUUCAAUAGUGAAAGACGGUUUUGCUGUCACUUAUAGAUGGAUCCGCGCCGCAUUAGCUAGUUGGUAAGGUAACGGCUUACCAAGGCAACGAUGCGUAGCCGACCUGAGAGGGUGGUCGGCCACACUGGAACGGAGACACGGUCCAGACUCCUACGGGAGGCAGCAGUAGGGAAUCUUCCGCAAUGGGCGAAAGCUUGACGGAGCAACGCCGCGUGAGUGAUGAAGGUCUUCGGAUCGUAAAACUCUGUUAUUAGGGAAGAACAAAUGUGUAAGUAACUAUGCACGUCUUGACGGUACCUAAUCAGAAAGCCACGGCUAACUACGUG